UACGGGGGGGGGCAAGCGUUGUUCGGAAUUACUGGGCGUAAAGGGCUCGUAGGCGGCCAACUAAGUCGGACGUGAAAUCCCCAGGCUCAACCUGGGAACUGCGUCCGAUACUGGAUGGCUUGAAUCCGGGAGAGGGAUGCAGAAUUCCAGGUGUAGCGGUGAAAUGCGUAGAUAUCUGGAGGAAUACCGGUGGCGAAGGCGGCAUCCUGGACCGGCAUUGACGCUGAGGAGCGAAAGCGUGGGGAGCAAACAGG
rnacentral:rRNA from 1 species